AAAACAAAUCUGCUAAAAAUUGUUGUCGAUCAUAAUAUCAAGAUGUGCCGCAAAUUAAGUUUGCUUGGUCUAAUGAUUAUAAUAAAUUCUAUUACUGCAAUUUUACCGAUUUUUUUUGCGUUUAGGCUAACAGCUAGACCACUGUAUCAAUAUUUGGUCACAUGGGGAAUAUUUCUAGUGUGGGAAAUUAAUUUAGUUGUUGCAAUGGUAUUGGCUUGUUUUAAAAAACGAUUCUAUAAGUUUUUAAUGCCCAUUGCUUAUACUUGGAUGACAAUAAGCACUCUUAUCUGCAUUUACAUAUUAUUAAACUCGAGACCAUUUGGCAUUUUGAACUGGGUCGACUUUCCUCUAAAGCGAUCCGAUGACCUGAUGUUCGCCUUGGGUGGGUGGGUGUUUGCCUUGCUUGCCUUCAUGGGCCAAUAUUGGCAUGCUCAAUAUAUAAAAGCAAAAAUAAGACGACGACGUGGAC